rnacentral:rRNA from 2 species
GGUUAAGCGACUAAGCGUACACGGUGGAUGCCCUGGCAGUCAGAGGCGAUGAAGGACGUGCUAAUCUGCGAAAAGCGCCGGCGAGGUGAUAUGAACCCUUGACCCGGCGAUGUCCGAAUGGGGAAACCCAGUGUGAUUCGUCACACUAUCGUUAACUGAAUACAUAGGUUAACGAGGCGAACCGGGGGAACUGAAACAUCUAAGUACCCCGAGGAAAAGAAAUCAACCGAGAUUCCCCCAGUAGCGGCGAGCGAACGGGGAGCAGCCCGGAGUCUGAAUCAGCUUGUGUGUUAGUGGAACGGUCUGGAAAGUCCGACGGUACAGGGUGAUAGUCCCGUACACGAAAGCACACUUGCUGUGAACUCGAAGAGUAGGGCGGGACACGUGGUAUCCUGUCUGAAUAUGGGGGGACCAUCCUCCAAGGCUAAAUACUCCUGACUGACCGAUAGUGAACCAGUACCGUGAGGGAAAGGCGAAAAGAACCCCGGCGAGGGGAGUGAAAAAGAACCUGAAACCGUGUACGUACAAGCAGUGGGAGCACCUUCGUGGUGUGACUGCGUACCUUUUGUAUAAUGGGUCAGCGACUUAUAUUCUGUAGCAAGGUUAACCGUAUAGGGGAGCCGAAGGGAAACCGAGUCUUAACUGGGCGUUAAGUUGCAGGGUAUAGACCCGAAACCCGGUGAUCUAGCCAUGGGCAGGUUGAAGGUUGGGUAACACUAACUGGAGGACCGAACCGACUAAUGUUGAAAAAUUAGCGGAUGACCUGUGGCUGGGGGUGAAAGGCCAAUCAAACCGGGAGAUAGCUGGUUCUCCCCGAAAGCUAUUUAGGUAGCGCCUCGUGAACUCAUCUUCGGGGGUAGAGCACUGUUUCGGCUAGGGGGCCAUCCCGGCUUACCAACCCGAUGCAAACUACGAAUACCGAAGAAUGUUAUCACGGGAGACACACGGCGGGUGCUAACGUCCGUCGUGAAGAGGGAAACAACCCAGACCGCCAGCUAAGGUCCCAAAGUCAUGGUUAAGUGGGAAACGAUGUGGGAAGGCACAGACAGCCAGGAUGUUGGCUUAGAAGCAGCCAUCAUUUAAAGAAAGCGUAAUAGCUCACUGGUCGAGUCGGCCUGCGCGGAAGAUGUAACGGGGCUAAACCAUGCACCGAAGCUGCGGCAGCGACACUAUGUGUUGUUGGGUAGGGGAGCGUUCUGUAAGCCGUUGAAGGUGUGCUGUGAGGCAUGCUGGAGGUAUCAGAAGUGCGAAUGCUGACAUAAGUAACGAUAAAGCGGGUGAAAAGCCCGCUCGCCGGAAGACCAAGGGUUCCUGUCCAACGUUAAUCGGGGCAGGGUGAGUCGACCCCUAAGGCGAGGCCGAAAGGCGUAGUCGAUGGGAAACAGGUUAAUAUUCCUGUACUUGGUGUUACUGCGAAGGGGGGACGGAGAAGGCUAUGUCAGCCGGGCGACGGUUGUCCCGGUUUAAGCAUGUAGGCGGAGGUUCCAGGUAAAUCCGGUACCUUAUUAACGCUGAGGUGUGAUGACGAGGCACUACGGUGCUGAAGUGAUAAAUGCCCUGCUUCCAGGAAAAGCCUCUAAGCAUCAGGUAACACGAAAUCGUACCCCAAACCGACACAGGUGGUCAGGUAGAGAAUACCAAGGCGCUUGAGAGAACUCGGGUGAAGGAACUAGGCAAAAUGGUGCCGUAACUUCGGGAGAAGGCACGCUGAUGUGUAGGUGAAGUCCCUGCGGACGGAGCUGAAAUCAGUCGAAGAUACCAGCUGGCUGCAACUGUUUAUUAAAAACACAGCACUGUGCAAACACGAAAGUGGACGUAUACGGUGUGACGCCUGCCCGGUGCCGGAAGGUUAAUUGAUGGGGUUAGCUGUAAGGCGAAGCUCUUGAUCGAAGCCCCGGUAAACGGCGGCCGUAACUAUAACGGUCCUAAGGUAGCGAAAUUCCUUGUCGGGUAAGUUCCGACCUGCACGAAUGGCGUAAUGAUGGCCAGGCUGUCUCCACCCGAGACUCAGUGAAAUUGAACUCGCUGUGAAGAUGCAGUGUACCCGCGGCAAGACGGAAAGACCCCGUGAACCUUUACUAUAGCUUGACACUGAACACUGGUCCUUGAUGUGUAGGAUAGGUGGGAGGCUUUGAAGCGUGGACGCCAGUCUGCGUGGAGCCGCCCUUGAAAUACCACCCUUUAAUGGCUGGUGUUCUAACGUAGACCCGUAAUCCGGGUUGCGGACAGUGUCUGGUGGGUAGUUUGACUGGGGCGGUCUCCUCCCAAAGAGUAACGGAGGAGCACGAAGGUUGGCUAAUCCUGGUCGGACAUCAGGAGGUUAGUGCAAUGGCAUAAGCCAGCUUGACUGCGAGCGUGACGGCGCGAGCAGGUGCGAAAGCAGGUCAUAGUGAUCCGGUGGUUCUGAAUGGAAGGGCCAUCGCUCAACGGAUAAAAGGUACUCCGGGGAUAACAGGCUGAUACCGCCCAAGAGUUCAUAUCGACGGCGGUGUUUGGCACCUCGAUGUCGGCUCAUCACAUCCUGGGGCUGAAGUAGGUCCCAAGGGUAUGGCUGUUCGCCAUUUAAAGUGGUACGCGAGCUGGGUUUAGAACGUCGUGAGACAGUUCGGUCCCUAUCUGCCGUGGGCGCUGGAGAAUUGAGGGGGGCUGCUCCUAGUACGAGAGGACCGGAGUGGACGCAUCACUGGUGUUCGGGUUGUCAUGCCAAUGGCACUGCCCGGUAGCUAAAUGCGGAAGAGAUAAGUGCUGAAAGCAUCUAAGCACGAAACUUGCCCCGAGAUGAGUUCUCCCUGAGACUUUAAGUCUCCUGAAGGAACGUUGAAGACGACGACGUUGAUAGGUCGGGUGUGUAAGCGCAGCGAUGCGUUGAGCUAACCGAUACUAAUGAACCGUGAGGCUUAACCUU